CUGUCUCCAUGACAACAGCAAGGCGCCACCCAACGCAGCUCCAACAAGCCCGCCUCCGGCGGCUCCGGAAGCAAGGGGCGACUUUCCGGAGAGAGCCGCAGGGCUCCCUGGGAAAAAGGAAAUGGACGGAGGCGAAAGUGCUUGGGGCUGGGUCGACUGACUGAGAGCGCGCUCCCGGUUUGGAUCCUUGAACUGGAAGAGGAAAUGUCCUGGAAGAAACGCCCUCGGAUGGGCUCUUAGUUGUGACUAGGGUUCUGGAAAGUGGGGAAAAGGAGAGAAAGUUCUUUAGGGCUUUCCAAAAAGUGCUGCCACAUGAUAAAUAUGGAGAAGUAUGGGAAGACAUAAGAAUGGAUA